rnacentral:ribozyme from 1 species
GCCGUGCAAAUCGGUUCCUCCACGCGGGGCACGGCGGGCAACGGAUAUUUUCCGGCGAAACCGAUU